UACGUAGGGGGCAAGCGUUGUCCGGAUUUAUUGGGCGUAAAGAGCGUGUAGGCGGCCUGACAGGUCUGCUGUGAAAACUCGAGGCUCAACCUCGAGAUGUCGGCGGGAAACCGUCUGGCUAGAGUCCGGAAGAGGAGAGUGGAAUUCCUGGUGUAGCGGUGAAAUGCGCAGAUAUCAGGAAGAACACCGUGGCGAAGGCGGCUCUGGCGG
rnacentral:rRNA from 1 species